AGGCGGGCGGCCUGUCACCCGGGCGCGCGGAGGCCGCCGGAGCUCUGGGGGGGCCGAGACCACCAAUCCCAGGGUGCUUCGCGCGCGCAGUGCCAAGACGGUGGGGCGGAGCGGCGCGCACGGCACCCUGGGAGGUGUCGUCUUCUGCUCCGGGAGCGCAGAGCCGCCCGAGGCGCACUCACUGGCACCUGAUUGGCUGUCCCGAGAAAGUGACAGGGCUUCGCGGCCCAGGGCCGAGAGCGGCGAGGAGGCGGGCGCGCUGGGCUUUAGGCGCGAGCGGUUGAAAGUGGGUUGGUAUCGGUUCGGCCGCCGACGUGCCGUCCCACCGCCCAGCCCGCUCCAUGGCGGACCCGGAGGAGCUGCGGCUUUCCCCGCAGCCGCCGCCCUCCUCUCCCUCGUCUUCAGACGCGUCUUCAGCAUCUUCCCCCGGCACCCCGGGGGGUUUGGGCCGUCCGGUUCCGAACAGGAACAGCGGCCGGCCGGUGGACCCGCUGGAGGAGGUGGAGCUGCAGAUCGGAGACGCAGCAUUUUCAUUAACCAAACUUCUUGAAGCUGCAUCUGCAGUAUCAGCUCAAGUGGAAGAGCUUGCCUUCAAAUGUACAGAAAAUGCACGUUUCCUUAAAACAUGGCGAGACCUCUUGAAAGAAGGCUAUGAUUCCUUGAAGCCUGACAACUGAUUUGACUGUAAUAAUCCAUACCACCUCAUUUAUGAUGUUUGCACAUGUGCCGUGUGGAUAGGAUAAUCACCAGCAGUUCUGUAUACAGAAGAUGAAAUUUUUCUUGGUUUUCUUCAUUUUGUGAAAACAGAAUAUGAUAUUUUUGAUGUUGGCCCGUUUAUCUUUAAACACUUUCUGUUUUCUAAACUUUCAAAGACUCUUCUAUGAAAGUUAAUUUAAUCAGUAGAUAAUAUUAAUAAUGCCACAGUGCUACCAGUAGCAAACUAGGUGGACCAUUAUUCUCUUCAGUUUGCAAGAAGAUACCAAAAAUGGCAGAGUUUGAAGUCGAGCUUUAUUGUAUGGACCAAUGUUAGAUUCAGCUCCAUUAGGCUAAGUUCCCUAGAACCAAUGAUUGUGUCUUAUUACUUCUAUAUUUCCAGCAGCUAGAAGUCUGUUACACAACAGUCACUAAAUGUUUGAUGAAUAAGAGUUGACAACAUAAUUAAAAGCUGUUUUUUUUCCUGUUUUUAGCAUGAAGAUUAUAAUUGUUUCUCAAAAAAAUAUUUGAGUCAGAACCUCAUUGCCUUGAAGGAAAAUGUUAUCUUUUUUUUUAAACAGGAUUUUGAACUUUAACUGGUGACAGCUUUUUAAAAGAUAUGAUAAAUAUUUUUCACCCUUCUAUCAUGCUUUCCAAAAAAGCUUUUACUGAAACCUGUCUUGAAAGAAUGCCUAUGUUUUUUUCUAAGGUUAACUGCUUUUAUGGAUAUUUCUCAUAUUUGAUGUUGGUAUAUGUUUGAUUGCUCUCUUUAAAGUGCCUUAUCAAAAUUGUCGCUCUGAAUUAUUACUUUUGGAGCUUGGCAAGUAAUAAUUCUAAAUUCUAAAUAUAAUAAUUCUAAACAAGUUACUUUUUAAAAAUGCAUCAAAUUUAAAUGAUGUAAUUAUUUUCCUAUUAUUUGAUCUUCAUGACAGUGUUCUAUUUUACUUGUCCCGUAUCUUACGUUGCGCUGCCCCUCUCUCUCUUUCUCUUUUUUGGUGGGUUUGUGUCGUAUAUGUCAGUGAUUGAACCAACUAAUUCUCUUGCUGUGUAACUUCUGGACGCCUCUGAUACAGUAUCUUACUUAUUUGUAGGUAAGGAGGUAUGUGCAGAACUAUAUUCCCAAGCCCCACAAUGGGCCUGUGAAAGGGGACACAUGGAUGGGCAAAGGAUAGUUUUGUUUAGCAUAUUAGGUCAUGGUUCUUGAUUAAUUUUUUUAAGCUAAGGAUAACACAUAUGGUGUGUUCCGAUACCAAAGAGAUGCUUAUUUUGAUAUUAGAAAACUGUUUUUCUUAUGUGUCAUGAAAAUUGCAAUUUUUAAAAUAUACAAAAAUAAACUUUUGUUCAAACCAAAUGUUAUUUCCAUUUCUUUGGGUUCAUUAUUUUAAAACUUUUUACUGAAAUAUUUCAAACCUAACAGGAAAGGUGAAUGAUUUAAAGAGCACCCAUGUAUUCUCACCAUGCGGAUUUAAUGAAUGUUAGCAUUUGGUAUGUUUUCUUCAGAUCUAUAUGUGUAUGUAAAUGUUAGAUGCAUUUGAAGCUUGUUUUGUUACCUCUUUGAUCCCAUCCCCUUCUUCUCUCCCCAGAGAUAACCACUGUCCUAGAGGUGGUGCAUAUUCUAGUUUGUGUUCUUGUAUUUUUAAUACGUAUGCAUGUUUUCAAAACACUACAAAGUACUGUCCUGAAACUAAUAUGAUACUGUAAAUCAACUAUACUUCAGUUUAAAAAAAAACUGUACUAUUUUGUGUCUGUAGUAACCAGCCUCCAGAGGGCCCCAGUGGUCUUCUCUCGCCUGAUGAUACCCAUGGCCUUGUAGAUUCUCCCACGUUGAAUAGUGCUGACUUGUGAAGAAAAAUUUCUUAUGUUCUAAAAAAAAAAAUGAAGUAAUUAUUUGAUAAUCAUUUUGACCUGUGUUCCUUUCUGGUCAUCUUAAGCAUGGGAUUAUCAGAAUUUCAACACAGAAGAAAAAAUUCAUACCUGGUAUUUCUACCUGAAGCAAUGAGAGAAAUUUCAGUAUAAAGAUGGGUAUCCAGCACAAUGCAUCAGUAAAUACAAUAAAGAAAAAACGUUUGGCAAGGAUCAUCUCUU